rnacentral:rRNA from 1 species
CAGUUAGUUGGCGAGGUAACGGCUCACCAAGACCACGAUGACUAGGGGAUCUGAGAGGAUGACCCCCCACACUGGUACUGAGACACGGACCAGACUCCUACGGGAGGCAGCAGUAAGGAAUAUUGGUCAAUGGAGGCAACUCUGAACCAGCCAUGCCGCGUGCAGGAAGACAGCCCUCUGGGUCGUAAACUGCUUUUAUUCGGGAAUAAACCUACUUACGUGUAAGUAGCUGAAUGUACCGAAGGAAUAAGGAUCGGCUAACUCCGUGCCAGCAGCCGCGGUAAUACGGAGGAUCCAAGCGUUAUCCGGAUUUAUUGGGUUUAAAGGGUGCGUAGGCGGCUUAUUAAGUCAGGGGUGAAAGACGGUGGCUCAACCAUCGCAGUGCCCUUGAUACUGAUGAGCUUGAAUACACUAGAGGUAGGCGGAAUGUGACAAGUAGCGGUGAAAUGCAUAGAUAUGUCACAGAACACCGAUUGCGAAGGCAGCUUACUAUGGUGUUAUUGACGCUGAGGCACGAAAGCGUGGGGAUCAAACAGGAUUAGAUACCCUGGUAGU